rnacentral:rRNA from 1 species
UACGAAGGGGGCUAGCGUUGCUCGGAAUGACUGGGCGUAAAGGGCGCGUAGGCGGCUCAUACAGUCAGAUGUGAAAUUCCUGGGCUUAACCUGGGGGCUGCAUUUGAUACGUGUGGGUUUGAGUGGGGAAGAGGGGGGUGGAAUUCCAGGUGUAGCAGUGAAAUGCGUAGAGAUCUGGAGGAACACCGAUGGCGAAGGCAGCCCCCUGGGCUAACACUGACGCUCAUGCACGAAAGCGUGGGGAGCAAACAGG